UACGUAGGGUGCAAGCGUUGUCCGGAAUUAUUGGGCGUAAGGAGCUCGUAGGUGGCUUGUCGCGUCUGCUGUGAAAUCCCGAGGCUUAACCUCGGGCCUGCAGUGGGUACGGGCAAGCUAGAGUGCGGUAGGGGAGAUUGGAAUUCCUGGUGUAGCGGUGGAAUGCGCAGAUAUCAGGAGGAACACCGAUGGCGAAGGCAGGUCUCUGGGCCGUUACUGACACUGAGGAGCGAAAGCAUGGGGAGCGAACAGG
rnacentral:misc_RNA from 1 species